GCCUGGGUGGCUCAGUGGUUGAGCAUAUGCCUUUGGCUCAAGGCGUGAUCCCGAGGUCCUGGGAUCAAGUCCCAGAUCGGGCU
rnacentral:tRNA from 1 species